rnacentral:rRNA from 11 species
GGUUAUUGUAUCUAAAUACCCUAAUGGCACCAGACCCCAUCUGAUCUGGGAAGCUAAGCAGAGUCAUCCUGGUUAGCACUAAAAUGGGAGAAUGCCAAGGAAUAACAAGUGCUAUAGGCU